UAAAAAUAUAUUAAAAUUAAAUAUUUUUACAAUAUCAGCAAAUACAUCCUCUAAUCAAUGUUGAUCCUGCAACUAUAGAAUAGAAAUGUUGACAAGUCUAAUAAAUAUAUACUAUGACUUAUGCUCAACAUGCUUAUACUAUGCUCUACAUUAUAGGCGUGCUCUCCAUGUUCGUAAUAAUGCUCAUCCUAAUAAUUGUUCAAAUGUAGAUGUAUAAUAGGAGCAAACAAUUACAUGACAUCCUAUGUAUUAUAUAUAAUAAUACUGUGAUUGAUGUGUAAUUACAUAAAUUUAAUAUACUUAAAAAAUAUAUCAUUAUAUAUUAUAGCUUGGUCAAUAGCCUUUGCUCUGGAAAUUUGUUGUUGUUUUAGAACGAUGAAUAAGCACCUCAAACAUGUGAUAAAACUAAUUUUAAAAACUUAAAAUGUGGAGAACUGGAGAGGCGGAGUCUAGAGUGAAAAAAAUGGUGAUAAGAGAGGAAAUUGCUGGAUUUCGUCAGAAGUUUGUUUAUUCUAAGAGCAAUGAAGGAAAACAAAUGUGGAAAAGAGAGAGAGAGCUUCAGGAGACAUGCCAAGAUGCAGUUUCAUAGAAGGGAUCAUCCAAGUCUAAUUUCAAUUCCUUUUCCUUCAAACAGUGGUCUUUUGAGACUAACGAGGAGCAUUCUAGGGGCGUCCUUUUUUCUCAGGUCAGCAGCGAUGUUUCCAGUGUUGCAGCAUUUUGAUCGUUUUGUUCAAUGGGAACACAGUGUCUAUUCUUGUACAGUCGUUUGCUUUUUAGUAAGAAGCUAAUUGUAGAGGACUGGAAGAUUGGUUAAAAGGUGCUGGAAAAACAGGGAGCAGAAAGUUUGGUUACACGACACAAAAUCGCAGGGAUAAUGCAGGAAUUUACAAAUCUGGAAAGCAAUGCAGAGAAAGAAACUAAACUGAGGAGAAAAGCAAGAGAGCUUCAGGAAAUUGCAGGGAUAAUGCAGGAAUUUGGUUCCAUACCUAACGUCAUUCCAUCAGAGCUGGUCCGCAACGCUGAUCCAAUUGGGUUCAUUGAAGCUACGCUGACUAAGAUGGAGGUUCCAUUUGAGAAGCUGCUUGAUGGGUUUGAUCAGUCCUUGAGGCCUCCUCUUACACUGACUGAUCAUUUCUUGUUUUGGGUGAUUGGUGUUGGGAAUCGAAGGAACAUUCCGGUGGCUUCAUCUUUUCCUAAUUCUUCAACUGUACUUUCUGUGUUUUGUCAUGUGAUCUUCUAUCACAACACGGACACUUCCCCGUGGACAUGUCAAGUGAGGUCAAAUCUUAACUUUCUUCCCUCUUCAAGGGAGAAGGGUUUUCUGCAAGAAUUAUUCCACUGCCUUAUCAAAAUUUCUACAAUCCUAGUUGAAUCGUCAUUGAAAAUGGAUUUAUAAUUGUCCUAAGCUAGCAUGUGAAUUAUUUUAUGGUAGAUAUUUUAUUUUUAGCAUGUGAAAUCUAUUAUACAUAUAAUGUAAUCAUGGCUUUAGUAAGUGAAUU